rnacentral:rRNA from 1 species
GUGAGGAAUUUUCCGCAAUGGGCGAAAGCCUGACGGAGCAAUACCGCGUGAAGGAUGAAGGCCUAUGGGUUGUAAACUUCUUUUCUCAGAAAAGAAUUAUGACGGUAUCUGAGGAAUAAGCAUCGGCUAACUCUGUGCCAGCAGCCGCGGUAAGACAGAGGAUGCAAGCGUUAUCCGGAAUGAUUGGGCGUAAAGCGUCUGUAGGUUGUUUAAAAAGUAUUCUGUCAAAGAUUAGGGCUUAACCCUAGAUAGGCAGAAUAAACUUUUAAGCUAGAGUUUGGUAGAGGCAGAGGGAAUUCCCGGUGGAGCGGUGAAAUGCGUAGAUAUCGGGAGGAACACCAAAGGCGAAGGCACUCUGCUGGGCCAAUACUAACACUGAGAGACGAAAGCGAGGGGAGCAAAUGGGAUUAGAAACCCCUGUAGUCC